GAGGGGGGAAAAGAACCAGCUGAUCUGCUGUUUGCCAACUUGACUUUUAGUGAGCCCUUUUUUCUGCGUUGCUGCUGGACUUUGGACAGCCCGUUGUUGUUGCUCGUGCGUGUGUGUGUGUGUGUGUGUGUGUGUGUGUGUGUGUGUGUGUGUGUGUGUGUGUGUGUGUGUGUGUGUGUGUGUGUGUGUGUGUGUGUGUGUGUGUGUGUGUGUGUGUGUGUGUGUGUGUGUGUGUGUGUGUGUGUGUGUGUGUGUGUGUGUGUGUGUGUGUGUGUGUGUGUGUUCUAAAGGUUGGGACUUAAAUAUACUUUUUAAUCAAACGUACAUCUCUCCUGGUGCCCCGUUGGUCUGUGUGUGUGUGUGUGUGUGUGUGUGUGUGUGUGUGUGUGUGUGUGUGUGUGUGUGUGUGUGUGUGUGUGUGU